AGCGAACGCUGGCGGCAGGCCUAACACAUGCAAGUCGAACGAACUCUUCGGAGUUAGUGGCGGACGGGUGAGUAACACGUGGGAACGUGCCCUUUGGUACGGAAUAACUCAGGGAAACUUGAGCUAAUACCGUAUGUGCCCUUCGGGGGAAAGAUUUAUCGCCAUUGGAGCGGCCCGCGUCUGAUUAGCUAGUUGGUGAGGUAAAGGCUCACCAAGGCUACGAUCAGUAGCUGGUCUGAGAGGAUGAUCAGCCACAUUGGGACUGAGACACGGCCCAAACUCCUACGGGAGGCAGCAGUGGGGAAUCUUGCGCAAUGGGCGAAAGCCUGACGCAGCCAUGCCGCGUGAAUGAUGAAGGUCUUAGGAUUGUAAAAUUCUUUCACCGGGACGAUAAUGACGGUACCCGGAGAAGAAGCCCCGGCUAACUUCGUG
rnacentral:rRNA from 1 species